AAACGCACUUUUUUAGCAUCAACAACAGCAGCUCCUGCUACGGAGACGGCCUAUGUGGACAUCACCGAUGAAAUAUCAUCUGAUGGAUUACCUCUUAUAGAGACGUCUUUAAAUCAAUCGAUACCUAAUGACUUGUCAAACAGCACUUCUAAACUUAUUCCCAAUGAUAAUGGGACAAUGGAUGCAGAAGAAAAAUAUCAGCAGCAAUAAUUGAUGAUAGCAGUGAAACACGGACAAGUAAAAUUCUUGCAAGAAGGAGGCGGGACAAAAACAGCCUUUUAUCUUCAGAUUCAGAAUCGUCCUCUUCGUCCAUUUCUUCAUCCCUACAAUCUGCUGCUCUGGAAGGCCCUAAACAAAAGAUUCUUAUCAGGACGUGCCAUACAACAGGAAAUCUCAAAUGCAGCCCUACACCUGUUAUUGGUACCUGUAAAGGUCGAAGUUUCUGCCGAGCACUUCCUAAUGCUGCGGAAACAUCAGAAAAAUCAACCAGUGCUAAAGGUGUAGAAAACUGGGCUAUAGCUGUAAUUGCCAUUUGCGCCAUUGCUGCAGCUUUAACUGUAUCACUGCUGAUUUACCUAGUUGUAACAUCGUGGAAGAAAUUAAAAGUACAGCCUCAAAAUGGUGUUACCACUUUAACUUAUGUAAAUAAUAGUCCACCAUGAGCAUGUGAAAAAAUGCUGGGCAGUUGCAAUUCUGCAUUAGUUGAUGUGGAAAUUUUGUGAUAAGCCGUUCCUUUUAAAUAUGAACUCCUGCUGUAAGAUCUUUUAAACUGAUUUUUGUCAGUGUCUACAUGUUUUUUGUUUUUGGAUUCUUUCAUAUAUGUCAUACCUAAUGUGUAUAUUUUUGUGAUGUGUUUAGGAUCUGGAAUUUGUUAAAACAGUGCAGAAAGUAAAUGUAUAAAAUAUUCAAGAGAAACAUACUGCAUUUUAAUCAUGCUUUUAAAUUAGGUCUUUAAAAAAAAAUGAUGCUAAAAUGUACAUAAAUAUGUGUCAGCAGCUGAAGAUUUUUUUAGCUUUCAAAUAACGAAGAGACGAAAGAACAAACAAAUUACAUCCAAAAAAUAGCUCAGUGAGUUAUAAAUUGAUAUUUUUAUAACAUUCAUAUUUCCUGUGAUCUCUUGUAAUUAUGAAACUCAAUGUAUACGUCAGUCUGUAAUUUAAUUACAUAUAUGAAUUUAUAACUAAGUCAAGAAUAUGUUAUGUAAGAAUUGUUGAUGAAAUGAAUUUUACCGCUUGUUUCGAAUAAUGUUCACUUCUUCUAUGUAUUUCUUAAGUUUCUUUCAUUCCUUUCUCCUUGUGAAAUAGGACACUUUAAAAAUAUUAGUAAUUUUUUAGUCAUUUUAGAAUUUCGUUCCAGUUAAUAAACUGAAAUUUGAUGUUUGUACUUUGAAAUGUUUUUCUGUAUAUUUUAAAUACAGUUACACUAAUAUAUCUGGAUCAGUGUAUCAUUGUUGCUUUCUGUAAUACUUCUGCUUAGUAAAUUUACGCAAAACCAAUUAAUUUUUAUUUUAUAAAAGAAAUAUGUGUAUUGGGUUACACUUCUAAGCUGAUUCAGUCUAAUUCUGUUGAGAAAUGUGAAUCUCCAAAGUAAAUGCUUUACUCAUAUAUAUUGCAUUUGUACAUAACUCCUAUUAUAUCUUUAUGUAUUCCCCAUAAUUCUUUGUAUGAACAGUAUAUGCAGAGUUUUAGCAAUUAAAUCAUUUUAAUCAUUCAUUAAUACAUGUGUAAAACUGCAAUUUUGUGUACUGUGCAAUUUUUUUCUCCAUUUAUGUAAUAAGUUUGUGCAUUGAGCUCACAAAAAUAAAAUUUUUCAAAAUGUUU